CUGGCUAAUUUUUAUAUUUUUAGUAGAGACGGGGUUUCACCAUAUUGUCCAGGCUGGUCUCAAACUCCUGACCUCGUGAUCCACCCACCUUGGCUUCCCAAAGUGCUGGGAUUAUAGACAUGAACCACCGCGCCCUGCCGGAGAAUUGAUUUUUAUCUGCCAUUGCCCUCUCUCAGUAGGACAGUUCCUUUCUCUUCACCUCUUCUGUCAGCUAAAGACCAUGAGAGGGAGAAAGCUAGAAGCUGAAGAUUCUGAAAAUCACUAACUGGCCUCUUCUUUCUCCCAGGUGUGGCACAUUGGUUGACCUUUGCCAGGGCCCCCACCUUCGGCAUACUGGACAGAUUGGAGGACUGAAGCUGCUAUCGGCUGAGUAUGCCCGUCGUGGUUUCUCCGAGGUGAAAACUCCCACACUGUUUUCUACAAAACUCUGGAA
rnacentral:sRNA from 1 species